CUCUCAGAAACAAGUCGAAUUUGUGACAAACGAGUGGAAUGUGGAGCCACUUGGACUAACUGCCUAUAUUCUGGCACAGUCGCCAGCUAUAAUACACUCUGAACAGCCCACAAGAUAUGUAGCAUAUUUUAAAAGUUUUGUUCUCAGUUGCUAAUACUGUACGUUAUUUUCAGGUUGAUCAUCAGACUGAGCGAGAGGCCACAAAUACCCCAGAAAUGACCAUACUUUAGAAUGACCUGUACUCACCAAACCAGUAACAAGGAUCCAGACAAAAAACAAUACCUGUUGGUGAUGCCCUCAUGUUAAGUGCAGAGGCAACAGUGGACGUUGGUCGUACCAUCCACUGUGAACCCUGAGAAGUUUUGCCUCGGGAAGAUCCGGAUUAUGACCUGAGAGGGCAGCCACCUAUGGAGGUUCGUCAUCCCCGGGGAAUAAACAAUGAUGGUUCCAGCACAGAUCCCUUAUCAACUAUUUGGAACCAGAAUUCCGUAUGUGGAAGCACCAGACUACGCAGUGCCACAUCUCACACGACAGCCUUCUUCAUGUUGCUAUAGUUACGAUAUAGUUCAGUGCUGGAAAUACAAUUCUGUCAAGCAUGAUGUGAGCACAAGUUGUUAAUAAAUCUGAAAUAGUUAA